rnacentral:rRNA from 1 species
CCUACGGGUGGCAGCAGUGAGGAAUAUUGGUCAAUGGACGAGAGUCUGAACCAGCAAAGUAGCGUGAAGGAUGACUGCCCUAUGGGUUGUAAACUUCUUUUAUAUGGGAAUAAAAUGUUCCACGUGUGGGUUUUUGUAUGUACCAUAUGAAUAAGGAUCUGCUAACUCCGUGCCAGCAGCCGCGGUAAUACGGCGGAUCCGAGCGUUAUCCGGAUUUAUUGGGGUUAAAGGGCGCGUAGGUGGAUUGUUAAGUGGGUUGUGAAAGUUUGCGGCUCAACCGUAAAAUUGCAGUUGAAGCUGGCAGUCUUGAGGACAGUAGAGGUGGGCGGAAUUCGUGGUGUAGCGGUGACAUGCUUAGAUAUCACGAAGAACUCCGAUUGCGAAUGCAGCUCACUGGACUGCAACUGACACUGAGGCUCGAAAGUGUGGGUAUCAAACAGGAUGAGAUACCCGGGUAGUC